rnacentral:rRNA from 1 species
GACGAACGCUGGCGGCGUGCCUAAUACAUGCAAGUAGAACGCACAGUUUAUACCGUAGCUUGCUACACCAUACACUGUGAGUUGCGAACGGGUGAGUAACGCGUAGGUAACCUGCCUGGUAGCGGGGGAUAACUAUUGGAAACGAUAGCUAAUACCGCAUAAUAUUGAUUAUUGCAUGAUAAUUGAUUGAAAGAUGCUAUUGCAUCACUACCAGAUGGACCUGCGUUGUAUUAGCUAGUAGGUGAGGUAACGGCUCACCUAGGCGACGAUACAUAGCCGACCUGAGAGGGUGAUCGGCCACACUGGGACUGAGACGCGGCCCAGACUCCUACGGGAGGCAGCAGUAGGGAAUCUUCGGCAAUGGACGAAAGUCUGACCGAGCAACGCCGCGUGAGUGAAGAAGGUUUUCGGAUCGUAAAGCUCUGUUGUAAGAGAAGAACGGGUGUGAGAGUGGAAAGUUCACACUGUGACGGUAUCUUACCAGAAAGGGACGGCUAACUACGUG